CCUACUGCUCACCAUUGACCUGAGGCAGAGGACUGCCCUUCCCCACCUCUGGGCUCCAUGAGCAAUAAACCUGUGACGUUACACCUCUGUGUGGGUGUACUGAAGCUGCGCCUCCGAUCAAAGGGACUCUAGGGUUUUCACAUCCUUCGAGUGGGAGCUCAGAUGCUGAGGAAGCCGCCUGCUGGUCUCUGUAGGUGGCUUGUGUCUCGUUCAGCAGGUCAUAGUCUGUGUCUUCCUCAUGUAACACCCCAGCUACACACCCCCAACGUGCUGCACCACAACAUACAAGCACAAACCUCCCCAUUCCCUGGCUUCACACAAGUACCACGCUUAUACAUGCACUCUCAGCCCCAACACACACACACACACACACACACACACACACACGCACACAGAGUUACCACCACCCUGAAGACACCCUCACGGUGUGAAGAAAUGGCAGAGGAUGUGAGUUUGGAGACAUGGCAGGUGGCUCUGCAGGCUGCUUGAGGCAGAUACGAGACACAGGCAUCUUUAGAAAGGCUUGGCCAAAUCCUUCCAACUGAGACACCUCUGAAGAGACGGGCUGGCACCUCAGCUCCCAUGCGGUGGACUGAGGCUGUUUGGGGUCUGGGUCAAAGUUCAACUUUGCCUCUGCCCAAUCCUUUCUUCUUCUACCCCUCCCGGGUGUUCCCUAAACUCUGUCUCUGAGUCUGUUUUUCAAAGAAUCCGAAGUAUGACAAUUAUUUAUCAAGGAUCCGUGAACAUGGUUCAAGACUCUACAGAGGAGGAACAGAGUCUCCUCGGGGCGCCCCACGGGCACUUUGCUGUUUAAAGCAUGGGAGAGCUGGGGAAGGACCCAGACCACUGACCUCCCUGCUGACAUUCCCUCAGUGUCCCUCCUACUGGCAGCCACAAGGGGACACCCAUGCCCAGGGACAGCCAGUGAAGGACCGAUGAGACAGAGGAGGCAGCCUCACCAUCCGUCCGCAGAUUGGCAAGGACGAGGGCAGCUGGCCAAGGCCCCAGAAGUGGGUCUCCGCCCCCCCGUGCACAGUGACCAGGACACCAUGACAUCUGCAGCCGGAACAGAGGGGCAGCUCCUAUGGGCCCAGGCUGCCUCUGGGUUACUGGGAUUUCCCCAGGACUCCACGGCCUCUCUGGGGGAUGAUUUUGGCAAGGUAGGAAGGGGACUCUGAAGCCAGGCCACGUGGUGCCAGCCCGGGGUCUUCAGCUCCGAGUGCUGGACCUGCCCCGGGAUCCAUACCAGCCUGAGCCCCGUGUCCUCACAGAGUGACGGGUGACGUGGGACCCCUCCUGAUCUAUGUGGGGAGCCCACAAGCUACAGGAGGCACAGCACCUGCUGGAGGAGCAUUGUGACCUGGAGGGGAGACAGGGACCUGGCCAUUCGCACAGAAUCUGCUUCACCUCCUACCAAUGCCUCCCGGAGUCACCCCUUGUACACUGUCCCAGCAAACAUCAAGUCUGCUUUGUUUUUCUAUAAUAAACAAGCUUGGCCAUGA